rnacentral:rRNA from 1 species
UACAGAGGUCUCAAGCGUUGUUCGGAUUCAUUGGGCGUAAAGGGUGCGUAGGCGGCGCGGUAAGUCGGGUGUGAAAUCUCGGAGCUUAACUCCGAAACUGCAUUCGAUACUGCCGUGCUUGAGGACUGGAGAGGAGACUGGAAUUUACGGUGUAGCGGUGAAAUGCGUAGAUAUCGUAAGGAAGACCAGUGGCGAAGGCGGGUCUCUGGACAGUUCCUGACGCUGAGGCACGA